GACGAACGCUGGCGGCGUGCCUAACACAUGCAAGUCAACUUGACUGAAGGAGCAAUCUGACAGUAGAGUGGCGCAAGGGUGCGUAACGCGUAAGUAACUUGCCCAAGGUAAGGAAUAACGUCGAGAAAUCGGCGCUAAUACCUCAUAAUGCAGCGGAUCCGCAUGGAUAUGUUGUUAAAGGUUUACCGCCUUGAGAUAGGCUUGCGUCUGAUUAGCUAGUUGGUGUGGUAACGGCACACCAAGGCUACGAUCAGUAACUGGUCUGAGAGGAUGAUCAGUCACACUGGAACUGAGACACGGUCCAGACUCCUACGGGAGGCAGCAGUGAGGAAUAUUGGGCAAUGCUCGAAAGAGUGACCCAGCAACGCCGCGUGGAGAUGAAGGUAUUCUAUAUCGUAAACUCCUGUGAGAGCAGACGAAAGACAGAUUAAUUAAUCUGGAUGACUGUAUGCUC
rnacentral:rRNA from 1 species